AAUUUUCCCAUCAUGCCCGGCGAUGAGGAGUCGUGAUGAGGCCACGUGAUAAGACAUCCAGCCAACGUCCUCCAAUUCGGAUUCUCCUAUCUUCCCAAUCAGUUUCCCUAAUGUGUUCAGCUGGAAUAUUUCGCCGUUGCUUAAGAGAACUAAGAAUUUGUUUUCGACCUCCACGAUCCAUUUCACAGGAUGCUUGAACUUCCUCUCCCACAUCAGUUCCUUCUUCCAAGAUAUACACAGAAGUUUCCGCUGGUUAUGAUCUGGAAACAGAAAUUUGUUGCCAAGUUUGUUCUCCAGAAAGCACUGAACGACACUGUGCCCUCUGAUGUGAAUAGAAAUAUCAACCGGCCUGCUUCUCUGGAAACGUUUUUCGUAUAGAGUCACUUUAUAGUUGUUAAGUAUGCAGACUUUCGUUCCAUUCAAACUCACUAAGCGACCCUCGGAAGGCAAUCGUCUGCUGUCUUUUUCUGUGAUAUAUGUUCCAGUGUCAGUGUCUACCACUUUGAAUGUGACGAGAAAUCUGCCCGACAUCACGUACAGGCUAUCGUCGGGGCGGACAGCGAUGCUGCUCGGCUUCAAGUCGUCACCUAUCAGACACACGCUCUGGAUAUCGUUUCUCUUAUUGAACAAAAUCAGACAAUUAUUGGCCUUGUCCAUCGCUAGAAUUCGCCCAUCCGACAUAAAUGCUGCGCCACAAAGCUCACAUUUCUGUUUCUCAUAAUUUGUCUUGCAUUGAAACUCUGUCAAGAACGAGGUUCUCCAUAUAACUUCGAACUCUGAACCUUCCACUUGAUACACAGAAGAAUCUGUUGGAGUGCUGACAUCAAAAAACCCUGAAGAGUUUUUCCCAUGAAUUGCGUCGUUCUCUGAUUGCCUGUUUACUGCUGGAAGUGGUUUUGGUUUGUCGUCUGCUUUGGGUUUCUCGUCAAACAAUUCAGCAACGAGCUCCACGUAUUUGUGGUCUUUCGUGGAGCGGAACAUCCGGUGGACAUCCCUACAGGCCGAGCAGUAGAACUGUCUGCAGUCGGUACAUAUGACCGCGGCCAACACUUUCUGUCCCUUACCUUUACACACUUCACACAGUUCUGGCAUUGUUGCAGAGUCCGCUUGUCUGCAGUUUGAUCCCUUUCACUACUGAUGACUAGAACAUAUCACAAAGAUUCUUCUUCCUUUAAGUUUUCCGUUGUCAUUAUAGAGGUGUUAACUGUCUUCAAAAACCCGGAUCGACUCUAAUGUUUUAUCUCACCGAAAUCAUUUCCAAUGCGUCAACAAGUGUAUCUGGGCCAAAAUGUCACGUUCAAUAGAAACGAACAAUUGCGAGUAAACGAAACUGAUAAUGUAAUGCUAGUAAAGUUUAAAGCCU
rnacentral:sRNA from 1 species